AGAGUUGGUGGCCAGGAGUAGUCAUCGAUGGGGAGGGUUUUGAUGAGCAAGGAUGAAUCAGAAGUUAUUUUUCCUUAUUGUGAGUAGAGUCAAAUUUUGAUUUACCAAACUUCUGUUUGAUGUUGCUUUUCUAUACGCAUGAGUCUCACACUUUCUCAUGAACAAUAGUAAAUUUUCACAGUAGGAAUUUUUGUAUACGUUUAUUUAUGUCUUUUUCUUAUUUAAUAGGUGGAUUUGCUCCAAUGAUUCUGGAACCCUCGAGGAGGUGAGGUUUCCAUCAAAUGAUUUUACAGUUUGUUUGGUCUCAACAAUGGGUGGUAGUAAUCUGCACUCCUACUGCCAAGUGUAGA
rnacentral:lncRNA from 1 species